rnacentral:rRNA from 1 species
GACGAACGCUGGCGGCGUGCUUAACACAUGCAAGUCGAACGAAGUGGCGAACGGGUGAGUAAUACGUGAGUAAACUGCCCUCCUUUUUGGGAUAAGCAUUGGAAACGGGGUCUAAUACCGAAUAAAGGGGGAUGGGCUCGCGGCCUAUCAGAUGGUUGGUGGGGUGAUGGCCUACCAAGGCGGUGACGGGUAGCCGGCCUGAGAGGGGGACCGGCGACGUUGGGACUGGUCGACGGCCCAGAGUGCUACGAGGUGCAGCAGUGGGUGAUAUUGGACAAUGUGCGAGAGCCAAAGGCAGCGACGCCGCGUGGGGUCUUGAGGUGUUCGGGCUGUAAACCUCUGUUGGGAGCGAACGGGUAGAUGGAGAAGAAGCGCCGGCUAACAACGUGCCAGCAGCCGCGGUAAUAC